rnacentral:rRNA from 1 species
UGGGGAAUAUUGCACAAUGGGGGAAACCCUGAUGCAGCGACGCCGCGUGAACGAAGAAGGUAUUCGUAUCGUAAAGUUCUGUCCUAUGGGAAGAUAAUGACAGUACCAUAGAAGAAAGCUCCGGCUAAAUACGUGCCAGCAGCCGCGGUAAUACGUAUGGAGCGAGCGUUGUCCGGAAUUAUUGGGCGUAAAGCGAGCGCAGGCGGUCAAUUAAGUCUGAUGUGAAAGCCCCCGGCUCAACCGGGGAGGGUCAUUGGAAACUGGUUGACUUGAGUGCAGAAGAGGAGAGUGGAAUUCCAUGUGUAGCGGUGAAAUGCGUAGAUAUAUGGAGGAACACCAGUGGCGAAGGCGACUCUCUGGUCUGUAACUGACGCUGAGGUUCGAAAGCGUGGGUAGCAAACAGG